rnacentral:rRNA from 1 species
CUCUUACCCCAAUCCCAAAGCCCUCCUCCAACCCUUUUACAGUAAUGAGUAAUUCUAUAUCCCUAUAGAAGUUUUUAUGUUAGAACUAGUAACAAGAAGACGACCCUUCUCUUAAAUGCAAGCGUAAACCAGAAAGGACACACCACUGGGAAUUAACACUCAUGAGCUGCUAAUAGCAACACUAUGAAAAACCCCUAUUUAUCAAUAUGUUAACCUAACACAAGAGCAUUAAAAGAAAGAUUAAAAAGAAAAGAAGGAACUCGGCAAACAUUAACCUCGCCUGUUUACCAAAAACAUCGCCUCUCGAAUAAGUAUGAGAGGUCCAGCCUGCCCAGUGACUCUGUUCAACGGCCGCGGUAUCCUAACCGUGCAAAGGUAGCGUAAUCACUUGUCCUUUAAAUGGGGACUAGUAUGAACGGCACCACGAAGGUUACACUGUCUCCUUUUCCUAAUCAGUGAAACUGAUCUCCCCGUGAAGAAGCGGGGAUACACAUAUUAGACGAGAAGACCCUAUGGAGCUUUAAACGAAACAACAGCCGCCACCCCAUCUAAAUUCCAGAACAUCCACCCCAUAUUCUGGCGGCAUGAUUGCUAGUUUUAGGUUGGGGUGACCGCGGAGAAUAAACCAACCUCCGCAUUGGAAAGGACCUCCUCAAGCAAAAAACCACAACUUUACGCAUCAACAAAUUGACACCAAUUGACCCAAUAUUUUGAUCAACGAACCAAGUUACCCUAGGGAUAACAGCGCAAUCCAUUUUGAGAGCCCAUAUCGACAAAUGGGUUUACGACCUCGAUGUUGGAUCAGGGUACCCCAGUGGCGCAGC